AUUCACUUUCCGUUUCUUCCCACAGAUACGUUCAUUAAUGCUUUUUCCAGCCGGAGACAAACUUUUUGGGGGUGGGGUAGGGGGGGUAUGGAGGGAGAGUUGGCUAGGGCUGCGGGUAACCCAGCGCCUACUGCCGGGGAAGACUCGGACGAAAACCGAGGCAAACCAACCAUUAAAAAGUGCAUCCAAUAAGAAUUUUUCCACUCAGGCCCUCCGCUGCCGAGACGCGGCAGACUCCCAGAGCGGCUCACCCACUCAUCGAAGCGGAUUCUGGGCGGUUUCGGGCUGACCCGCGCUGUCAGGGCGCGGACUCCAUUCCGGGCGCAUUGUUAGGAGAAGGGGCCCCUCGGGGCGGCGCGCCUCGACCCUGGGCUCCCGGUGCCCGCAGAGGGCGGAGAUCCGCGGCGCCCUAGGCCACCUAUCCGCAUCUUCUCGAGCCAAACCCCCAGCGCUUACCCGGACCCGACGGCCCAAGCACUGACUCCCAGGCAAGAGUCGCCCUUCCUGGUCCCCAGGGAACUGACACUACCGCGGGACGUUCCCUCUAGGACAGUCAGCAGGUCCCAGGAGCGCAGCACGCAACAGCGCAGAGCAGACCCAGACUUUUCCCGGGGUGAGACCCGGAGGCCCGCGCUCUGGACCGUCCUCCCUACCCAGCCUGGAGGCCGGCGUUCCCCGGCCCAACCCGGAGACCUCCCCGCCUCCCUCCUGGGCCGCCGCGCGCCCCAGUUGGAGCAGCCUCGAGGGGCUGGGCCCUUUCGGCCGGACUCCCUUCUCCCGGACAUCCAAAACAGGUUACCUUGUCCACGCUCUCCGGACCACGCUUUGGACUUGCUCACUUUUAUUUAAGAGUCCGACGGGGGAAAGAGGGAAAAAAAAUCCAGAGGAGAUCCAAGUCAAUUGGAAGAAAAAAUUUCAAAAGGGUGUCCACAGAGGCGAAAAAAGGCUCUACCGACCUUCAAACUACAACAGAGCUUUCAGGAGAAUGCGGAGAGACGGCUUCCCACCCGGACCUCACCAGAAACCCGCACACCCCAGCCACAUUGCUCCUCAUUCAGCCAGAAAGGACUCCAACUCCACCACCAGGAGGCCCCCCUUCCUGGUGCUGGCCAGUUGCAGAGGCUGUUCAUGGCAUCCCACAGGUGGCGACUGCCCCCCACCCUCCUCCUAGCACUUUAGAGGGUCCCUCUGUGGCAGACACCAUGGCUAGGUUUCUCUUUCCAACUCCUGUUGGUCUGGCAAGUGACAGAUCAUCUUCACUACAUUAAUCAGUAGUCACCCGAACAUUCCUAUACUGUCCCCCAAUUCCUUUCAGCACCAGCUGCCUCCCCCACUGGAAUUAUUCAAUAUGGAACUAGAUUAAAUUGAAGACUUGCCCUUUAGUUUUUAACUGUGGAACUCCAUCGCACUUUCUGUUUCUCCAAAGCUACGGCAAUUUCAUGGUUUUGGAGAUGGGCGGGGGGUAGUGGAGAGCCUGGCACAGGCACCACUAGAUGCAUAGACACAGGCACCCCGGCCCUUUGGGACUCACAGACUGGCACUGGUGCCACUGUUGUUGGCGAUUUUCAGCCCCCUGGGAGAAGCUCCUGUCCAUUCACAGAGGUCUCCACCCAGAAAGAAGACCCCACCUAACUCUGACUAGAUGCCUGCGGGAAUCUCGGAUUUCCUCCAUCCAGUGUUGGCAUGCCCGUAGGUCAGUUUGCCCCACUUUUAUGUAACUCAGGGUUUGAUGGUCAACUCCACUGCUACUGCUGCUUUUUUAAAUCCUGAAAGGGGAUGGGGGAAGCGCCCUAACCAAGCACAAUAGUAAACAAGUCUACCCUGUUUAAUGUGGUUACCACCAGACAUCUGGAAAGAUGGUUUGAUCCUGGCAGCUCACAUUGUUUUCACGAGCAGCCAAAGGGGAUAUUUUGAAUGUUUGCAUUGAGACAAAUUGAUAGAGAGCCUGCGGUGAGGGCCUACAAAUGAAAACUGUCUUGUGUUAGUGGGGCAGACCUCCCCUUCCCUCUCCUCUCCCUCCUCUCUUCUCUCCUUCCUCUUUCCUUAGUCUCUGGGCCCAGCUUGGGGAAGGCUGCCCCUGCCCACACACUUGUGCACACCCUCUUUCCUGGCUUACCAUGGCUCCAAUGGCCUCGCCCUUUCCCAGACUGGGCAGAGCUGCUGAACAGGAGCUGGUAUGAGUGCCAUCGGCGACAGCUCACUUUCCAGCAGCUCGGGGCUGGUUUUCAAGUCAGAGGCAGCUCACAGCCAAGGAAGCUCUUCCCAGUAUUUAAAACAAAAGCUACCAACUGGAGAAAAAAAUGUCCCAACAACAAAACAGCCCACCACAUGUUUCCAAGUCUGGGGUCACUUACAGAAACCGUGCACAUGGGCGUGAAUACUCAGGAAAUAUUUGGAUUUGGAGCAUUUUCAUUUGGAACGCUGGUGAGACGACUUGCCUCGCACCAUUCGCACUUGACAGUAUUUUCAAAGAUGCGGAAGUCCUGCUUCCCCCGGGAGGGGAGCGGCGGGUCGAAACGUGUCUUGGCUCGCUCAAUGUCAGCCCUUUUGACCCGGUCAAGACUUUCCAGACACGGGCUUCCCGGGCUUCUUCGGCCCCAGACUGGGUUUGGGGUGGGCG
rnacentral:lncRNA from 1 species